GGAGGGUACAGCUCAGGGGUAGAGUGCGUGCUUAGCAUGCAUGAAGUUCUGGGUUCAAUCCCCAGGACCUCCG
rfam:Camelus ferus unplaced genomic scaffold scaffold955, whole genome shotgun sequence.